rnacentral:rRNA from 1 species
GAUGAACGCUGGCGGCGUGCCUAAUACAUGCAAGUCGAGCGAACAGACGAGGAGCUUGCUCCUCUGACGUUAGCGGCGGACGGGUGAGUAACACGUGGAUAACCUACCUAUAAGACUGGGAUAACUUCGGGAAACCGGGGCUAAUACCGGAUAAUAUAUUGAACCGCAUGGUUCAAUAGUGAAAGACGGUUUUGCUGUCACUUAUAGAUGGUUCCGCGCCGCAUUAGCUAGUUGGUAAGGUAACGGCUUACCAAGGCAACGAUGCGUAGCCGACCUGAGAGGGUGAUCGGCCACACUGGAACUGAGACACGGUCCAGACUCCUACGGGAGGCAGCAGUAGGGAAUCUUCCGCAAUGGGCGAAAGCCUGACGGAGCAACGCCGCGUGAGUGAUGAAGGUCUUCGGAUCGUAAAACUCUGUUAUUAGGGAAGAACAAAUGUGUAAGUAACUAUGCACGUCUUGACGGUACCUAAUCAGAAAGCCACGGCUAACUACGUG